UACGUAGGGCGCAAGCGUUUGUCCGGAAUUAUUGGGCGUAAAGAGCUCGUAAGCGGCUUGUCACGUCGGGUGUGAAAGCUCGGGGCUUAACCCCGGGUCUGCAUUCGAUACGGGCAGACUGGAGUACUGCAGGGGAGACUGGAAUUCCUGGUGUAGCGGUGGAAAUGCGCAGAUAUCAGGAGGAACACCGGUGGCGAAGGCGG
rnacentral:rRNA from 1 species